UCUUUUUUAUUACCAGGGUGUCCAUAGUAGUGGAAGUUGUAGAAACGUUAGUCAAUGUGCAGUCUGGUCAUAUACUGAAGCAUGUUUCUCGUCCUUGCAGCAAGUCUGAUGAACGGGUAGCGAAGAACGAAGAUUGGUCUGGGCCACCUGCUGCACCACCACCACCACCACCACCAGCAGCAGCAGCAGCAGCAGCAGCAGCAGCAGCAGAGGAGGGUGCUGCAAGAGAGAUGUCCAUGGACAGCCUGAGCCUUGUCGCUGUGCACUCAGGCAUGUCAGAUAUACAGGAAUUUGUUUUGCCCCAUGUGGAGCCAGCAUUCUGCUCGCUAGAGGUUGAGCAUGAGAAGUAGACUGUCUUCUCAAGCAUGGUAGCCAGGAGUGUGCCAAUUUUGGCCCCAAGGAACACCUGUUCUGCACACUCCACAAUACGGCCCUCAGGGCCAGCACUACUCAGACCUGUAGGCUGGGAAGAAGCUGGAUUUAGUCCAGAGCAGAAAGAAUUCCGCUCACCACACGAAACGCCAUUCAGACUAGAGCACAAUAAGUAGGAUGUCUACGCAUUCCUGCUGGACAGAAGAGUGACUAUACUGGCCCAGAGCAGCAAGUGUUGUGCUGUCUAAACAAAAUACCCUUCAGGACCAAGCACUGGUCAGGGCUGUUGGCCGUAAAGGAUCUGAUUAUAGCGUGGAGCAGCAAGAAUUCUGCUCGCCAUGCAAAACGGCCUUCGAACUCGACCAAAGGAGCUAAAAUGUUACUCAGGCCUGCUUGCUGGCAGUGUGGUGAUUUUGGCCCAAAGCAGAAACUGUUCUGAACACUUGACAAAACGGCAUUCAGAGCCAACCACUACUCAGAUCUAUUGUCCGUGAAGAAGCUGAUUUCAGCCCACAGCAGGAAGCAUUCCGGUCACCAGGCAAGAUGGUGUUCAGACUCGACAACAGGAAGUAGAAUGCCUACUCAAAGCUGCUGGCUGGAGGGCGACUAUAUUGGUCCAGGGCAGCAGGUAUUCUGCUCGCUAACAAAACAGCCUUCACAGCCAAGUACUACUCAGGCCUGGUGACUAGAAAGGAGCUGAAUUUGGCGCAGAGUAGCAACCAUUCUGCUAACUAGAUAAAACAGUCUUCAAACUCGAGCGCAAGAGAUGGGACUGUCUACUUGGCGGUGAGGAGCAUUUUGGUCCAGAACAGCAACUACCCUUCUAGCUAGACAAAUUGGCCUUCGGUGUCUAGUACUACUCAGAAAUGUUGGCCAGGAAGGAGCUAAUUUUACCUUGGAGAAAUCAGCAUUCCGCACACCAUGCAGAACAGCCUUCAGCCUCGAGAACAAGGAGAAUGGUGUGCUCGGUUGUCUUGGACAGGCCUAAUGUCCCCUGUGACAGGUCAGCCAGCAGUGAGAAAGUCAUUAGUAUUGGGGUGGACACCCACCUUCCAGGCAACGGGGACAGCUCAUCACCGCCGAGGAUUUUUUUCCUAUUGUGGUGGGCAUCCGCCUACUAUAAGUGCAGCCAACACACUAGCAGCACCAGGUGCCAACGUCAUGGACACUGACAAGACACCACCUGUUGGAUGGAGACGCUGUGGCUCUGCUGCUACCACAACAGAAGCGUUACGUCAUUGUGAGGCUAAAAUCAGUACAGUCAGUAAUGUUUGCCUGGCAUUUAAAACUGAUUUUUGUUUACAAUAAACAAAUUAUUUGAGCAACAUGAGAA